AGUGAACGCUGGCGGUAGGCCUAACACAUGCAAGUCGAACGGCAGCACAGUAAGAGCUUGCUCUUACGGGUGGCGAGUGGCGGACGGGUGAGGAAUACAUCGGAAUCUACUUUUUCGUGGGGGAUAACGUAGGGAAACUUACGCUAAUACCGCAUACGACCUACGGGUGAAAGCAGGGGAUCUUCGGACCUUGCGCGAUUGAAUGGGCCGAUGUCGGAUUAGCUAGUUGGCGGGGUAAAGGCCCACCAAGGCGACGAUCCGUAGCUGGUCUGAGAGGAUGAUCAGCCACACUGGAACUGAGACACGGUCCAGACUCCUACGGGAGGCAGCAGUGGGGAAUAUUGGACAAUGGGCGCAAGCCUGAUCCAGCCAUACCGCGUGGGUGAAGAGGGCCUUCGGGUUGUAAAGCCCUUUUGUUGGGAGAGAAAAGCAGCAGGUUAAUACCCCGCUGUUCUGACGGUACCCAAAGAAUAAGCACCGGCUAACUUCGUG
rnacentral:rRNA from 1 species